AGUGAACGCUGGCGGUAGGCCUAACACAUGCAAGUCGAACGGCAGCACAGUAAGAGCUUGCUCUUACGGGUGGCGAGUGGCGGACGGGUGAGGAAUACAUCGGAAUCUACUUUUUCGUGGGGGAUAACGUAGGGAAACUUACGCUAAUACCGCAUACGACCUACGGGUGAAAGCAGGGGAUCUUCGGCCCUUGCGCGAUUGAAUGAGCCGAUGGCGGAUUAGCUAGUUGGCGGGGUAAAGGCCCACCAAGGCGACGAUCCGUAGCUGGUCUGAGAGGAUGAUCAGCCACACUGGAACUGAGACACGGUCCAGACUCCUACGGGAGGCAGCAGUGGGGAAUAUUGGACAAUGGGCGCAAGCCUGAUCCAGCCAUACCGCGUGGGUGAAGAAGGCCUUCGGGUUGUAAAGCCCUUUUGUUGGGAAAGAAAAGCAGCAGGUUAAUACCCCGCUGUUCUGACGGUACCCAAAGAAUAAGCACCGGCUAACUUCGUG
rnacentral:rRNA from 1 species